rnacentral:rRNA from 1 species
CGGCGAGUGAAGCGGCAACAGCUCAAAUUUGAAAUCUGGCUCUCGGGCCCGAGUUGUAAUUUGUAGAGGAUGACUUUGAUGCGGUGCCUUCCGAGUUCCCUGGAACGGGACGCCAUAGAGGGUGAGAGCCCCGUCUGGUUGGAUGCCAAAUCUCUGUAAGUCUCCUUCGACGAGUCGAGUAGUUUGGGAAUGCUGCUCUAAAUGGGAGGUAUAUGUCUUCUAAAGCUAAAUACCGGCCAGAGACCGAUAGCGCACAAGUAGAGUGAUCGAAAGAUGAAAAGCACUUUGAAAAGAGAGUUAAAAAGUACGUGAAAUUGUUGAAAGGGAAGCGUUUAUGACCAGACUUGGGCUUGGUCAAUCAUCUGGGGUUCUCCCCAGUGCACUUUUCCAGCCCAGGCCAGCAUCAGUUUUCGCCGGGGGACAAAGACUUCGGGAACGUGGCUCCUCUCGGGGAGUGUUAUAGCCCGUUGUGUAAUACCCUGGCGGGGACUGAGGUUCGCGCUUCUGCAAGGAUGCUGGCGUAAUGGUCAUCAACGACCCGUCUUGAAACACGGACCAAGGAGUCGUCUUCGUAUGCGAGUGUUCGGGUGUAAAACCCCUACGCGUAAUUAAAGUGAACGCAGGUGAGAGCUUCGGCGCAUCAUCGACCGAUCCUGAUGUUCUCGGAUGGAUUUGAGUAAGAGCAUA